UAUUGUGAAACAUUUUAAUUUCUUAUUCAUUACAUCUGUUAUGUGCUUAUGUGCUUAAUUACAUCUUUUAUGUGCUUAUGUGAUAAAAGAUAAAGUUACAUAAAAUCUUUGGAAAUCAAUGUUGGGAAAAGCCAGAAGAUUAAAGACAAUCUACUUACAAUAUGAUAAAACGUUAAAACUAUACAAAAGAAAGGAGUUCAAUUAAAUGAAAUAAGAGUAUCAAUAAAUUAUGUAAAUGUAAAGCAGACACUAAAGGUGAUGCGCCAGAAUGUCAUGCUGAAGAGAAUGAUUCUUUUAAAUCCAAGGGGUGGCAAGAGACUCAGAUAUGAAGGGCACAAAGAUGAAACAGGCCUGAUCUGAAACUGUUUAUUCCCAGGCCAGGGAGCACAAAUAAAAAGCACCCUUAAAAAGGUACACAAUAAAAUGUCAUCAAUAUCUAAAAUCCCCCAGAAAUAAACCAACCCAAUUCUAAAGCUAGUAAAAACAUAAUUUUCUACAUUCACAUUAUGGGUCUACAUUAUGGGUCCACCAGCAGGCCAGGAAUUCCUUCUCUAGAGGGGAGUCCACGUCAGCCUCGUCUCUGGCAGACGAGAAGGACUUUCCUAUCCUCCUCUUGUCCCUUCAUUGGGCCCAUCACAUCCCAGCCCAGCUCACGUUCUCCUACUGUCACCGUUACUGCUGUCGGGACUGGAACGCCACAUCACGCUGGCCGAUCCGUCUCCAGAUUAGACAUCGCACUCCCACGAUCAGGCAGCAGGUCCCUCUUUUCACCUGGCCUUCAUACAUUCCUCCUCAUAUCUGGGGCCUCUCUCCUCCCAGUGCUCAGCUAGCCUGCUUUUAAAAGGUCUUUACACAGCUGAUAGGUCACCCAUACCUCAGCAGGUGAUACCUAUCAACUAAUUUAUCCCAUGCUCAGCCAACCCACAGUGGAUUAAAACAAUGUCCAAUAACACACUAAAAACAUGCAAUACAAACAGAAUAAAAUCAUGCAAAUGAAAACUACACUCAUAAAUAAACACUAAAAAUCAGAAUAAAACCAAGCCAUUUAAAUCAGCUGUGUUGGAUCAAAAACACAUCUAAAACCUGCAGGACACCGGCCCUCGAUCCAUUAUAUAACUUUUUAUUCUUGUCUGAGUUUAAGAAGAUAAGAACUGUGUUGCCAAUCCAUGAUUAUACUUUUGAGCAAGAAAAAUAAAGUUUAUUGUUGUAUGUGUUAGAAAUGUGUUAAAUUGUUUGUUGAGUUAAACACAGAAUUAUGAUGAAUUAUGAUUCAUAUGGGAUUUUGCUGAUGAUUAAUUAUGCUCACACUGAUCAGAACAUAAUCAGUAUCUCUCUCUCCCUCUCUAUACAUAUAUAUAUAUAUAUAUAUAUAUGUAUUUUGAAAGCCACACUGACUGUUUUAAAAGAAGUGGUCUGCUUGCAACUGCAUACGUGCCUGGUGAAGUUAGAACAGGGUGUACUCAGGAUGUGUCACCUACGAUCAUGGGGCCGCACAAUGGGAAACAGGAAACAACUGGGGGUGAAAGAUUAUUAUAAAUUACAUGGCAAUUAAUUGCAGACCCUGACCAAUGUUUUUAGGAGUGGUUGUAUUCAUUCCGAGUCUGAGAGAGACAGGUUGCCUCCCACCCGACCACGUUUGAUCGCCUUGCAAUCAAAAGUGGUUUCUCACUCUCAGCCUGCGGGUGACCAGUUGGUGGCCGUCCUAUUUUCACUCUGGUGUGACUGAGAAUCACCUAUUGUGUUCUACACUAACUCAGGAUUUAUUCAUUUAUUAUUCACUUUGCCAUAAUGUGAUAAUAUUAUUAGGCUAAUGACAUGUUUCCAUUGUUGGAGCUGUUUUCUUUGAAAUUUGUGACAUGCAAUGCCUUUGUGACGUCAGUGCUUCAUACAUUACUCAUCUACAGAGGCUGCAAAAUGCUGCUGCUUGUCUUUUAACUGGCACUCAAAGGUUUGAGCACAUUUCCCCUAUUUUAGCUUCACCUUGUUUGUUCGCAAUUUCUAUAACUUCCGAGACCACCAACGAUAAUAUUAUUCAGCUAUAAAGUGUGAUGUGAACAUAUUUACAACUUACCGGAAUGAAAAUGUCUGGAGCACACUAACUGAUAUCUGGAGAUGGAAGAGAACUUGAUAUCAGCUCGUCUCACGGCUGCUAUCCAGGCUAGACGCCUUCGUUUGGUAACAUCUGAUACAUGAGCUCCUUCAUGUUGCUUCCAGGUUGGGAAAGCAUAAAAAGACAACCCAAGCUUAUUCCCGUGCCGGUCGUACGAUCGAACAUUGCAGCCGACCACACAGCAAGUACGAACCAUGGCUGUUAUGUGUGCUUUCGCUCCUUUUUCGCUUGCGCUUGAUGCACACAUGUAUGAAUUGAAUGUUGGUACUUGGGACAUAAAUGUUGUCUUUGGUGUACCAAUCGGGAUUCUCCUUUUUCGUGAUGGCAUCUUUCUGUUUCCGUUUGAUCAAAAUAUUUGGACUUCUGGUCAUUUGACACUGUGGACAGAAGAUCAUAAGAACACACACUGUCAGCAUGUAUGAUUACACAGCAGCACUGCUACUACACAUUACUACAGGACUACUGGUACACAUUCACAAAAAUAAGCAUAAAACAUGAACAGAUGCAUAAUUCUAUGCACAGAGUUAUACAGUUACCCUCUCUCCCACUACUGGAUUUAAGGCUGCACUUCCAGUGAUGUUUAGCUCAGCCAUUACCUGUGACCUCUGCUCCUUCAGAUACAACAUGAAGGCGUUUGGUUGUUUUUUAGUAUACGCCCAGUCUUCAUCCUGCUGGGAUUGUCGGCUUCUUUUUCUACAGGAAUAAAACACAGAGUAAACGCAUGUGUUACCUCUGUGUACAACUGUGAGGAAAGCAGUUUAAUAACAUGAGUAAAGCUGUAAACCUGAAUGAAAGGAGGCACCAUUGAAGAGGCUGAUUAGCGAUAGAUCAGGUGACGGUACUAGAGACAGAGCUACUGAGUGUAGUGAUAUUUGUUGAGGAAGUUGAGCAGGUGCUUGAGCGGCUAGCUGAGCUGCAGGUGCUUGAGCGGCUAGCUGAGUUGGUUGUACUGUGGGUUUUGUUGGUUUUUUUUGUUUUCGGGUCGUCGGGAGCCGACUCUUAGAGGGGGGGGUACUGUCACGGACCCGGCUCUGGGGACUCGGGAUCCAUAAGCAGUGGGGACUAUGAUUGUUGUUGUUGUUAUUAUUAUUAUUAUUAUUAUUAUUAUUAAUAUUAUCAUCAUUUGGUGUGUCGUCUGCACUGCCUCUGGUCUCUGUCCGCAUCUGUAUGUAGGCAGAUAUAUGUGUGUGUGUUGCUGUUUUCUGUGGCCAAGUUACAGGCACCUUCAGGCCUGAGGGGCGUGGCCUGGCUUGAGGACUGGCCACACCCGAAGUCCUAGCCACACACCUGCUCCUCAUCUGGGCUCGUUGAGGGAGCUAUUUAGAAGAGCCAUGGAGCUUCCACCGACGUGGGAUUAUUGCGUUUGACGACAUGAGGAAUGCGGGUCCGAGAGCAGUGAGCACGGGGAAUGCAGAGACACAGGAGCAGAGAGCACUACACUGGGACUUUUUGGGAAGAAGACAUGACACGGGAGUCACGGGAGAGCACGGGGAUUAACUGUUAUUGUUUCCUGCACUGUAAAUAAACGCACCGUUGCAGUGAAGAGUCCUGCAUUUUGGGUCCUGUCUUCCCCGCAGACCGUGACAUAUCCAACUAAUGACAUGUCACAAAGCUCAAAUCAUCUCAAACUGGUUAAAACAAGCUUUAAAAAAUGUGUCAUUUUAAAGUGUUCUCCACAUGAAUGUACAAAAGAGUUGUUUAAUAAAUGAUAAAGACUUAUCCAGUGGUUAUAAAAUGGAGCAACAUUUGCAUAAUAACAACAGAUUCCAAUGAAAUCAAUAACACUGCUGACUGAAAUGUUAGAUGUGCACUUGAAGCCAUUUAUAAAUCGUAACUCUUUGAUCGGCUCCUCUCCACAAAAAAGCACAAGCAUACAUUUUGGGGCAUUGAACUGUAUUUUUAACCUUAUGGCAAAUCACACUAUACAAAUUAAUUAAGCAAUAAACAAUUAAAUGACAGAAAAGUUUGUUUUCCAUUUUCUGAAAGGGGAGUUUCACUGGUCUGACUCAAUUAAGAGAAAAGUGGGCGGUAUGUCACCUACAAUGUAAAAUGUGUUGAAACUCUGGUAAAUACUGAGGCACAUGCUUUUUGUUUUUGAUGUAAGUCAUGCGCCCAGGUUUGGAAAUUCCUUCACACUGUCAUCUAUCCCAGGAAUAGAUGGAUCCCAGGAAAUGAGUCAAAUAUGAUCAAAUUAACGAGGGCUCAUUUAGCUAUGAUGGAAGUGUAAACUGUUGCAUAAAAUGAUCUGAGUACUUAAAAAUUA